UGAGUACCAGAGAUCAGAAGGGGAGAACAAGACCCCUAGAC
ncrna:unclassified sequences Ocean-VII RNA